rnacentral:rRNA from 1 species
AUUGAACGCUGGCGGCAUGCCUUACACAUGCAAGUCGAACGGUAACAGGUCUUCGGAUGCUGACGAGUGGCGAACGGGUGAGUAAUACAUCGGAACGUGCCCAGUCGUGGGGGAUAACGAAGCGAAAGCUUUUCUAAUACCGCAUACGAUCUACGGAUGAAAGGGGGGGAUCGCAAGACCUCGCGCGAUUGGUGCGGCCGAAGGCAGAUUAGGUAGUUGGUGGGGUAAAGGCUUACCAAGCCUCCGAUCUGUAGCUGGUCUGAGAGGACGACCAGCGACACUGGGACUGAGACACGGCCCAGACUCCUACGGGAGGCAGCAGUGGGGAAUUUUGGACAAUGGGCGCAAGCCUGAUCCAGCAAUGCCGCGUGCAGGAUGAAGGCCUUCGGGUUGUAAACUGCUUUUGUACGGAACGAAAAGCUCUGGGUUAAUACCCUGGGGUCAUGACGGUACCGUAAGAAUAAGCACCGGCUAACUGCGUGCCAGCCGCCGCAGUAA